rnacentral:rRNA from 1 species
CCGGAGCAAAAGUGUUUACUAGACCGCAUGGGGAGUACGUCCGCAAGGGUGAGACUCACAUGAAGGGACGGGGGCUCACACAAGCGCUGGAGCAUGUGGAUUAAUUCGAAGCUACGCGCAGACUCUUACCUGGAUUCGACACGCUUGGAUGCCUGCUACUGAUAGGAGUUAGGCUGCCUUCGGGUGAAACUUGCACAGGUGAGCCAUGACUGUCGUCAGCUCGUCUCUUGACGAUCUCGGCUUAAGCCCUUUAACGAUCGUAACCGUUGCGGUUACUUGCCAGUGAGUAAUGUCGGGGACUCUAACGGGACUGCCGGUGACAAACCGGAGGAAGGUGGGGAUGACGUCAAGUCCUCAUGGCCUUUAUGCCCAGGGCUUCACACAUGCUACAAUGGCAAUUACAGAGCGACGCGAUACCGCGAGGUGGAGCAAAUCCGCACAAAAAUUGCCUCAGUUCGGAUUGCAGGCUGGCAAUUCGCCUGCAUGAAGUCGGAAUCGCUAGUA